GGUAUUGGGAUGAUCUAGCAUGCGAGUCAUUGUAGCAAUACAAGGCAGACGGCUCAGUAACGCGUAGUCAACCUAACCUAUGGACGGGAAUAAUCUCGGGAAACUGAGAAUAAUGCCCGAUAGAACACUAUAUCUGGAAUGGUUUGUGUUCCAAAUGAUUUAUCGCCAUAGGAUGGGACUGCGGCCUAUCAGUUUGUUGGUGAGGUAAUGGCCCACCAAGACUAUUACAGGUACGGGCUCUGAGAGGAGUAGCCCGGAGAUGGGUACUGAGACACGGACCCAGGCCCUAUGGGGCGCAGCAGGCGAGAAAACUUUGCAAUGUGCGAAAGCACGACAAGGUUAAUCCGAGUGGUUCCUGCUAAAGGAACCUUUUGUCGGUCCUAGAAACACCGAUGAAUAAGGGGUGGGCAAGUUCUGGUGUCAGCCGCCGCGGUAAAACCAGCACCUCAAGUGGUCAGGAUGAUCAUUGGGCCUAAAGCAUCCGUAGCCGGCUCUGUAAGUUUUCGGUUAAAUCCAUACGCUCAACGUAUGGGCUGCCGGGAAUAUUGCAUAACUAGGAAGUGGGAGAGGUAGACGGUACUCGAUAGGAAGGGGUAAAAUCCUUUGAUCUAUUGAUGACCACCUGUGGCGAAGGCGGUCUACCAGAACACGUUCGACGGUGAGGGAUGAAAGCUGGGGGAGCAAACCGGAUUAGAUACCCGGGUAGUCCCAGCUGUAAACUAUGCAAACUCAGUGAUGCAUUGGCUUGUGGCCAAUGCAGUGCUGCAGGAAGCCGUUAAGUUUGCCGCCUGGGAAGUACGUACGCAGUAUGAAACUUAAAGGAUUGGCGGGGGGAGCACACAAGGGUGAGCCUGCGUCAUGAGUCACGCCGGGAUCGUCGACUGCAGCAUGCAGCUGCACUGCCGUCGUUUAAAACGUCUGACUGGAAACCUGCGUACCACUU
rnacentral:rRNA from 1 species